CCUACGGGAUGCACCAGUGAGGAAUAUUGGACAAUGGGUGGAAGCCUGAUCCAGCCAUCCCGCGUGCAGGAAGACGGCCCUAUGGGUUGUAAACUGCUUUUAUCUGGGGAUAAACCUACUUACGUGUAAGUAGCUGAAGGUACCAGAAGAAUAAGCACCGGCUAACUCCGUGCCAGCAGCCGCGGUAAUACGGAGGGUGCAAGCGUUAUCCGGAUUUAUUGGGUUUAAAGGGUCCGUAGGCGGACUAGUAAGUCAGUGGUGAAAUCCGACAGCUUAACUGUCGAACUGCCAUUGAUACUGCUAGUCUUGAGUAAGGUUGAAGUGGCUGGAAUAAGUAGUGUAGCGGUGAAAUGCAUAGAUAUUACUUAGAACACCAAUUGCGAAGGCAGGUCACUAAGUCUUAUCUGACGCUCAGGUGCGAAAGCGUGGGGAGCAAACAGGAUUAGAUACCCCUGUAGUC
rnacentral:rRNA from 1 species